UGCCCAAGACAUAGAAGCUGCAAUCUUGCUUCUAUGUCUUUGCUUAUACUGUUCCCUCCUGAAUGCUGUCUCUUCUUCCAUCCACUUCGGUUUUAUCUACUACAAAGGAUAUCACUUGGGAAGGAAUUUCUUGAAACUGCUCCCAAGAGAGCCAUUGGACCAUGUGGUAAACAACUCCUAGCUGAUGGAUUAUUGGGAAUAUUAACAUCAUCCAGAAUGCUAUGGGGAGAAGACAACUGGAAGCUCCGUGUGGACAAACCUCCUGGACUCUGCCCCACAUAUCUCUUCCCUUGGCUGAUUUGAAUUUGUAGAAGCUGACAGCUGACACGCCCUUCCUUUGUGCAUUUUAUCCUGGGACAAAAUGAGAAGACAUCCUUCAGUUCCCGUCUUGGAUGGCAUAACUUCAAAACCAAGGGAGAUGGAGGAGUUUUAGAGGAGUAGAAGGCUGCAAGCAAGAACUGAUGCAUUACAUCUCCAGUCACCUCACUCUAAGAUUGUCCUGUAGCUAAGACUGUUGAAUGAGACUGUUGUUCUUCAGUUUGCAGCCACAAAGCACGGAGGCAUCUCCCCAAGAAUCCACUGCAGGGAGGAUGAACAGCCCUUACCUGGAUUUUUGCUUUAUCUAAAAAUAUAUUUGUAGAAGAAGGAGCAUUCUAGUUUCCAAAUACAAAGGGCAAUCUCCUUCUCUGUGUGUGCACGUGCAAACAAACACACUUCUACAAGUAAGCAUUCUUCUUUAUUAUCAUAGUCAUCAUCAUCACUGGGUUGGCAACUAAAAACAAAACUACAAAACUCUCAUGUUAGCAGUUGAGUAACUUUUAAUAACCAGAUACAAACCAUUCUUCAUUGUUUACAAGGGGCAUUAAAAAGAAAAGGAGGUUGAACUGCAAUGUGAAGUGUAGUUAAAUAUGUAGACAUCUUGGAUUCUAGAAGAGUUUGUAAUGGAUUAAAGGGUUAAGCUAUGAAAUUGUUGCCCUCUGUGAUUUUUCCACACUAGAACAGACUGACAUGGUUUGAAGCAGUUGGGCUUUAACCUAUAGAUAGGAGGACAGAGAUGAUUGCCUAUGAAGCAAUUAUUAAAUAGCUGCAUUUUGGCAUGUUCUAGUUGAAAAGAUUUAGUUUUACCUAUAUCACCUCAUCAUCACUAAUUUAAUCAUCCUCAGAAAAUGCAAAAAUAAUGAUGUACAUUUGACAAGUCUUAUACAAAAUUAUGUUUCAUAGCUUUGUGGUCAGAAUUAAGCCAUGUUCUAAAAUACAAAUGAAUAGUUUACAGCCCACUAAUUCCUAACUGUAAGUGUUAAGUCUAUAUAAAAAUAAGAGACAAGCUUGUGAUCAGGAAUAGCUUCCAAUUAUGAAAAAUUUAAAUAAAAAUAAUAGAAUGUGCUUAAUUUAUUUAUCAUAUACAAAGUAGACAUAUGUGACCAAAAUGAUUCAUUAUUUUUACGAUUUUCAUGGGAAUAAGUUUGACAAUAUUAAGUGCUGGAGAUAGAAUAUCA
rnacentral:lncRNA from 10 species